AUAAGGCGAUAAAUAAGUGUAAUAUUUUAAAGAAACAAAGGGUUGUUAACUUUGUAAGAUUUAACUUGUAUUUUAUUAUUUUAUUCGCUUUGUAUCUAUUUAUUAUAAUUAAAAGAUGUUGAUCAAUAUUAAGCUGUAAAUGUAUUUAUUGGCUUUGCAUAUUACUGGUUUUUUGAUCCUAAUGGAAUUUUUUUUUAAAAUCAUCUUUUUUUUUUCUUUUUCUUUUUUUUGAGAGAGAUAGGUAGCACGCUACCCGCUUCGUUUAUUUCAUUUAGAAAUAAAUUUAUCUAGAAAUGUGAAUGAACUAAGAUUCGAACUUGUGUCUCGGGUAUCAACCAUCAAACCCUUUACCACCUGCUCUAGGGACGGUCGGUAAUUUUUUUUAAAAUCGUCAAGAAAAGGAUUUAAAU
rnacentral:lncRNA from 1 species